rnacentral:rRNA from 1 species
GACGAGCCUCACGAACGUUAUUCGGAAUUACUGGGCUUAAAGGGUGCGUAGGCGGCGCGGAAAGUAGGGUGUGAAAUCCCUCGGCUCAACCGAGGAACUGCGCUCUAAACUACCGUGCUCGAGGGAGAUAGAGGUAAGCGGAACUUAGGGUGGAGCGGUGAAAUGCGUUGAUAUCGAUAGGAACUCCGGUGGCGAAGGCGGCAUACUGGACCACUUCUGACGCUGAGGCGCGAAAGCCAGGGGAGCAAACGGG